GAUGAACGCUGGCGGCGUGUCUAAGGCAUGCAAGUCGAACGGACUGUUAUUUGUAGCAAUACUUAGAACAGUUAGCGGCGAACGGGUGAGUAACACGUGGGCAACCUGCCUGUAAGACUGGGAUAACAUCGAGAAAUCGGUGCUAAUACCGGAUAAUAAAAAGAACUGCAUGGUUCUUUUUUGAAAGAUGGUUUCGGCUAUCACUUACAGAUGGGCCCGCGGCGCAUUAGCUAGUUGGUGAGGUAACGGCUCACCAAGGCGACGAUGCGUAGCCGACCUGAGAGGGUGAUCGGCCACACUGGGACUGAGACACGGCCCAGACUCCUACGGGAGGCAGCAGUAGGGAAUCUUCCGCAAUGGACGAAAGUCUGACGGAGCAACGCCGCGUGAGUGAUGAAGGUUUUCGGAUCGUAAAACUCUGUUGUUAGGGAAGAACAAGUGCCGUUCGAAAGGGCGGCACCUUGACGGUACCUAACGAGAAAGCCACGGCUAACUACGUGCCAGCAGCCG
rnacentral:rRNA from 1 species